GAGGUGGGAGGAUCACUUGAGCCUGGGAGGUUAAGGCUGCAGUGAGCUGUGAUCACACCACUGCACUCCAGCCUGAGUGACAGAGUAAGACUCUGUCUCA
ensembl:miRNA